UGGGGAAUUUUGGACAAUGGGGGAAACCCUGAUCCAGCCAUCCCGCGUGUGCGAUGAAGGCCUUCGGGUUGUAAAGCACUUUUGGCAGGAAAGAAACGUCGCGGGUUAAUACCCCGCGAAACUGACGGUACCUGCAGAAUAAGCACCGGCUAACUACGUGCCAGCAGCCGCGGUAAUACGUAGGGUGCAAGCGUUAAUCGGAAUUACUGGGCGUAAAGCGUGCGCAGGCGGUUCGGAAAGAAAGAUGUGAAAUCCCAGGGCUUAACUUUGGAACUGCAUUUUUAACUACCGGGCUAGAGUGUGUCAGAGGGAGGUGGAAUUCCGCGUGUAGCAGUGAAAUGCGUAGAUAUGCGGAGGAACACCGAUGGCGAAGGCAGCCUCCUGGGAUAACACUGACGCUCAUGCACGAAAGCGUGGGGAGCAAACAGGAUUAGAUACCCUGGUAGUCCACGCCCUAAACGAUGUCAACUAGCUGUUGGGGCCUUCGGGCCUUGGUAGCGCAGCUAACGCGUGAAGUUGACCGCCUGGGGAGUACGGUCGCAAGAUUAAAACUCAAAGG
rnacentral:rRNA from 1 species